rnacentral:lncRNA from 1 species
GGUUCCUACAUUGAGCACACGGUACCUGAAGGUAAGUCCACAGCCUCCCAACAGCCAGCCCUCCACUGGGCGCUAACGUGAAGGAUACCUCAUGACACGCCCCUGCUUCUCUGGAAACCCCGAAAAGCCAAAAGACACCCCCAGGGAUCUGUUCCGAGAUGAUGUCAAUGUAAACUGCAAGAUUGGGGGCAGAGAGACAGACACACCCACCACGGUUCUUAUCCUCCUACCUGACAGAGAGCUCACAGGAAGCUUCUUUCUGCGCCUUCCCAUGCUCUGAGACUCCCAGACUCUUGUGCGUUUCUGUGCCCAUGGCUUCACCCGAGGCCAGAGGCCACCUGGACCUGAGACCUAGUAUCCUGUAAGAGUAUCAUCAUAAAAUGCAUUCAUCUAAAUGUGAGGUUU